UACGUAGGGUGCGAGCGUUAAUCGGAAUUACUGGGCGUAAAGCGCGUGUAGGCGGAUGGGCAAGUCUGCUGUGAAAGCUCCUGGCUUAACCGGGAGUGGUCGGUGGAAACUGCCAAUCUGGAGGACGGUAGAGGUAGGUAGAAUUCCCGGUGUAGUGGUGAAAUGCGUAGAGAUCGGGAGGAAUACCUGUGGCGAAGGCGGCCUACUGGGCCGGACCUGACGCUGAGACGCGAAAGCGUGGGGAGCAAACAGG
rnacentral:rRNA from 1 species